rnacentral:rRNA from 1 species
GUGGGGAAUAUUGGACAAUGGGCGAAAGCCUGAUCCAGCCAUGCCGCGUGUGUGAAGAAGGUCUUCGGAUUGUAAAGCACUUUAAGUUGGGAGGAAGGGCAGUAAGUUAAUACCUUGCUGUUUUGACGUUACCAACAGAAUAAGCACCGGCUAACUUCGUGCCAGCAGCCGCGGUAAUACGAAGGGUGCAAGCGUUAAUCGGAAUUACUGGGCGUAAAGCGCGCGUAGGUGGUUCAGCAAGUUGGAGGUGAAAUCCCCGGGCUCAACCUGGGAACUGCCGCCAAAACUACUGAGCUAGAGUACGGUAGAGGGUAGUGGAAUUUCCUGUGUAGCGGUGAAAUGCGUAGAUAUAGGAAGGAACACCAGUGGCGAAGGCGACUACCUGGACUGAUACUGACACUGAGGUGCGAAAGCGUGGGGAGCAAACAGGAUUAGAUACCCUAGUAGUCC